GUCAGUCGGCUGUGGCAGCUGGAAGAGAAGGAAUCGGACGGAGAAGAAUGAAAAAUCACUUUGCUUUCGCAAAGCGAAAGAAAAGUAUUCUUUUCCUCAUUAUUUUUAAAUAAAUUUGAUUGUAUAUUUACCUAAUAAAAUAAACAUUCAAUUAAACAAAAA
rnacentral:lncRNA from 1 species